rnacentral:tRNA from 1 species
GGUCUCUUAGCUCAGCUGGAUAGAGCAUCAGAUUUCUAAUCUGACGGUCGCAGGUUCGAAUCCUGCAGAGAUCA